GGUACCAUGGCCGAGUGGCUAGGCAGGGGUCUGCAAAACCUCCUACGGCGGUUCAAAUCCGUCUGGUCCCU
rnacentral:tRNA from 1 species